GCUUUGCAUCAGCAUGUAAAAACACUUUUGCUGUUUGAGAAAUAUGAAUUGCUGAUGCAUUUUCCAGCCUUUUCUCCUAUCGAAAGUCCUUCCUUAUAUUUCCACUUUUUCCCCUCAAGCUUCCUUCCAAUGGAGAAGGCCGUCUGAGCUAUAUCUCCCUUCACCAAAACACUUCAUACAUCCCUUCUUCCAUUAUCCAAUUACAUCCGCUGCAUAACUCUGCUUCACUAGUGAAAUUAUUCCGCUGCUUCUGCAUUUAUACCUUUGGAGCUCACGGUUCUGAACAUAGCACCAAGGAUGACUCCAUCAAGUGGUAUCAAAGUUGUGGUCGUCCACGCAUCCAUAGCUAAGUGUUCUUUCCAUUCCAUACUGUCAUAAUUUUUCCUUCGUGUUUUCUUGUUUUGUGCACACUGUUACAUUCCAUUUCCAAUUCUCGUAGAUUUUGUUAUUAAUUUCAUUGUUCCAGCUUUUCAUUGCUUUAGUCUUAUCAUUUUAAUCGGUUCAUUUCUUAUUUUGAGUCUUUUAAUUUUGAAAUCUGAUGCUGUCAUGUCUAGUCAUGUGUGGUGGUUUAAUUUUGUCAAAUUCUGAAGUUGGAUCUCUGCCUGGAUAAAUCUGUUUGACUUGAGUGGUUAUUCAGUAGCUGCACAUCAUAAGAGCAAUGAUUCAAAGAGCUCAAGUGCAAUUUGAUUCCAUCAAGUGCAGUACCAAGCAUUACAGUAAUUUAAUCUGUUUUCAAGCUUAUUUGACUUUGCACCAUAUGUUCUGGUUGUGUUCUUGAAUGAUGGAACACGUAAAAGUUACAUACCAAAUGAACAAUGAAUGGUUUAAGUCAAAAAUUGUAUUAUAUCAAUUUCCAAUUACCAGAAAAAUAUAUUCCAACAGCUGGACCGAUCUGCACUAUUGUUUGAUUGAUUUUUGUGAUUUUUGAAUCUGUCCAGCUUAGAACUCACUUCUGGACAUCUUUUAUAUCAUUCCUAGAGUCUUGUUCAAGUUUAAAUUCCUAUUCUAGAGUCAUAAGAUUUGUUUCCAGUUCAGUUUGAUUCCUCUGAUGAAAAUUGGUUGGUGUUUUGGCUUAAUUUUGGUGCUAGAGAGCAACUGAACUAGUGAAAAUCUGAAUUCCAAGCUUUUAGCCUCUGCUGGCAGUUUGAACAAGUCACAUUUGAAUUUUGUAAUGCCUCGUGGCUGUGAUCUUUGCACCGAGUUCCACCUUAAAAUUGGCAGCAAAAGCUUGGUUCACUUGAGUUACAAGUAAUGUACAAUGCAAAUUUAAUAAUAGCACUUAUUUGAAAAAGUUGUGUGAACCAGUGCCAAGCAAAAUUGUUAAUUCUGGUGCAUCAGUCAAAGAACUCUCUUAGGCAUUUUAACAAACAGUUUUGCCUAUGUUGAAUUUGAGUUCGAAUUCAUUGUUUAUGCAACUUGUAUGCAUUUCUUGCUUUUAAAUCUACUCUAGAGCCUAUCCUAAGAUCAUUUUGAGUGCCACCUGUUAUUGCAAGCCGUUUAAUUGCUUGAUUUUUAUUUGUUUGAAACUCUGCACACCAGUUGUUUGAUGAAAGUAUAUUUGUGCAAUCUGGUUUAAUAAUUUCUGGCAGCAGCAGGGUGUUUGAUCUGGUUUCAUAAUUGAUUUUGUUUGGUCUGUGUGAGAUCUAAAUGGAUGCAGGAACUACAACAUUGGUAGCCUCUUAGGAAGUGGAGAAUUGGUGGAAAUAAUUCAGGCAAGUGGCUCGGUGGUGCAGAAUUUUAUUGCUGGAAACUGCCGAGUUGUUGCAGCUGCACAUCCAUUUACUACAGCAAGCAAAUCUGAAUUGCAGCCUUUGCAAAGUCAUUUUGAGUGUACAUGGAACACCAGCCUCCUAUACACCCAUGCAGCUGUGAGCAUAGUUUGUUGUACAUUAACAACACCUAUUCUUGUGAGAAGCCAAAGCUGUUUGCCAACCCUGUUUCUGAUUGUGAUCCAUUAAUUGAAACUCACAUUGCCAAAUGGAUUUGGAUCAAAAUUUAAAACUGAUUUUGUCAAAUAAACUUGCUGAUUUACACUUCUGAGUUGUUCCAAAACAAAAUUUCUAAACUGAUCAUAUUCAAGUUUUGAAUCAACUUGCAAAUUUUGUUUUGGCUGCAACUUUCAUGAUGAAAUGAGUUUUUGGAACCCCAUUAACUCAAUUGGUUUUGUUUUGCUCAUUUGAGUUAUGAUUUGAACUUGUAACGCUAAUCACAUUUAGUAUCCAUCAGUUUGGAGUAUUUGCUGUCUGGUGUAAUUUUUUAUGCAGAAUUUGACUUGCUGGAACGUAUAAAAUGCUGCUGCAGCAGCCGAUCUAGCUCAGCUUACGGUGUUGUAGAAUUCUACUGCUGAAGUGCAUACAUUGCUGCAACAGCAACCUGUUUGAACCAAUUCCUUGCAGCCAAAUUAAAAGCUUAACUUUUAGCAACUGUUUCUUUGAGCUGGAAAGUGAAAGCAUUGAUCCAUAAAUUGCAAGUGCUAGCCUUGUUGUAUUUGCUGGAUCGUGGAAUUUUGCAGCUGAGCAGAUUUGAUUUGGAAAGAGUUUUAUAAGCUAGCUGUGGUAGUUUCAUAUGAUCUUUGAUAUAGGGAACGACAGAAUAUCAAGUCUUCCUCUGAUUGCAUCUUAAAUAUAAAUUGGUCCAGAAGAUAGCAGCAGCAUCCUGCAGUAGCCAGUACAUGUCCUGCAGCAAAAAACAUGUGUUGCACGUCCUGCAGUACCCCCCCCCCUCUCUGGUCUACAAGAUUGAAACAGUAAUAUACAAGGAAUGAAGGAUCAAAAAGAGCAAGGAAGCAGCUGAAACGAGCUUUAGUCCGUACAUGGAGUAGUUUUCAUUUGUUUUCUUGUAAAAGGACAUAAGACCAAGUGUUUGGAAGAGUUCUUGGUGCUCUCUCCACUCUUGGCAAUUUUCUUUGCUUGCUUUGAUAAAUAAAUGGUGAGUGUGUCUUGUUAGCCAAAAGCUACAAGCCUCACCUAGGAUUUCUUUUCUUUUAUUUUCUUA